AACGCAAAUUGCACUGUUGGGUCCUCCCAGCAGUAUGUCUGUUUGAGUGUCAGCACUUUCCUUAAUAAUCAUCACUAUUUUUAAAUAAUAGUGGAUUGAAUAUUGACACUUUAUGAUCCAAUCAUAAUGUGUUUAAGUAAAUUGACUUUUUUCUUUUUUUUUCAAUUAGUGGAAGUACAUUGACAGCAUGUAAUAGAUUAACCAUUGCUUACAUGCAUAUUUUAAGCAAUAGCAAGGUGUUCUAUUUAUGUUAUCAAUUAAUUGUAUACCAUUUAUCUAUAAAAAGAGAAUUUUUAAAAAGUCAUCAACAAACAACAACAACAACAAUUUUAACAUCUUGACCUCAAAUUAGGCAAGGCUACCCGCUGAAUUUAA
rnacentral:misc_RNA from 1 species